GAUGAACGCUGGCGGCGUGCUUAAUACAUGCAAGUCGAACGAUCGGACUUCGGGUGGUAACACCUGGAGUUACGGAGUGGCGAACGGGUGAGUAACACGUGACCAAUCUGCCCUGGAGACGGGGAUAACGUUGGGAAACCAGCGCUAAUACCCGAUGAACCCGUAGUGGGGCAUCCCACAUCGGGCAAAUGUUUUUCGCUCUGGGAGGAGGUCACGGCCUAUCAGCUUGUUGGUGAGGUAACGGCUCACCAAGGCGAUGACGGGUAGCUGGCGUGAGAGCGCGACCAGCCACACCGGGACUGAGACACGGCCCGGACUCCUACGGGAGGCAGCAGUAGGGAAUAUUGGACAAUGGGCGAAAGCCUGAUCCAGCGACGCCGCGUGGAGGAUGAAGGCCUUCGGGUUGUAAACUCCUGCUGUGAGGAAAGAAGCCGCAAGGUGACGGUACCUCACGAGGAAGCCCUGGCUAACUACGUGCCAGCAGCCGCAGUAACAC
rnacentral:rRNA from 1 species